rnacentral:rRNA from 1 species
GGUUAAGCUAAUAAGAGCACACGGAGGAUGCCUAGGCGCCAGGAGCCGACGAAGGACGUGGCGAACAACGAAACUGCCUCGGGGAGCUGUAAGCAAGCUUUGAUCCGGGGGUGUCCGAAUGGGGAAACCCAGCUGUGGUAAUUCGCAGUUACUCACACCUGAAUACAUAGGGUGUGUAGAGGCAGACCAGGGGAACUGAAACAUCUAAGUACCCUGAGGAAGAGAAAACAAUAGUGAUUCCGUUAGUAGCGGCGAGCGAACGCGGAACAGCCUAAACCAAGGGGCUUGCCCCUUGGGGUUGUGGGACGUCUCAUAUGGAGUUACAAAGGAGUAUGGUAGGUGAAGAGGUCUGGAAAGGCCCGCGAUAGAGGUAAAAGCCCUGUAACCUAAACUGUGUUCCCUCCGAGACGGAUCCCGAGUAGUGCGGGACACGUGAAACCCCGUAUGAAUCCAGCAGGACCAUCUGCUAAGGCUAAAUACUACCUGGCGACCGAUAGUGAAACAGUACCGUGAGGGAAAGGUGAAAAGCACCCCGGAAGGGGAGUGAAAUAGAACCUGAAACCGUGUGCUUACAAAAAGUCAGAGCCCGUUUUAGGGGUGAUGGCGUGCCUUUUGUAGAAUGAACCGGCGAGUUACGUUUAACAUGCAAGGUUAAGGUGAGAAGCCGGAGCCGCAGCGAAAGCGAGUCUGAAUAGGGCGACUAAGUAUGUGGACGUAGACCCGAAACCGUGUGAUCUACCCCUGUCCAGGGUGAAGGUGCGGUAACACGCACUGGAGGCCCGAACCCACGUAUGUUGAAAAAUACGGGGAUGAGGUGGGGGUAGCGGAGAAAUUCCAAUCGAACUCGGAGAUAGCUGGUUCUCCCCGAAAUAGCUUUAGGGCUAGCCUCGGUGAAUGGAGUGGUGGAGGUAGAGCACUGAUUGGGUGCGGGGCCCGCAAGGGUUACCAAGCUCAGUCAAACUCCGAAUGCCAUUUACUUCUUGCCGGGAGUCAGACAGUGAGUGCUAAGAUCCAUUGUCAAAAGGGAAACAGCCCAGACCAUCAGCUAAGGUCCCCAAGUGUGUGUUAAGUGGGAAAGGAUGUGGAGUUGCACAGACAACCAGGAUGUUGGCUUAGAAGCAGCCACCAUUGAAAGAGUGCGUAAUAGCUCACUGGUCGAGUGACUCUGCGCCGAAAAUGUAACGGGGCUAAACACACCACCGAAGCUAUGGCUAGAUGCUUUGCAUCUGGGGUAGGGGAGCGUUGUAUGUGGGUUGAAGGUGUACCGUAAGGAGCGCUGGACAGCAUACAAGUGAGAAUGCCGGUAUGAGUAACGAAAAGAUCAGUGAGAAUCUGAUCCGCCGAAAGCCCAAGGUUUCCUGAGGAAGGCUCGUCCGCUCAGGGUAAGUCGGGACCUAAGGCGAGGCCGAAAGGCGUAGUCGAAGGACAACAGUUUGAAAUUACUGUACCACCGUAAUCCGCUAUGAGCGAUGGGGUGACGCAGGAGGGUAGUGACGCGGACUGAUGGAUGUCCGUCUAAGCAGUGAGGCUGGUGUGUAGGCAAAUCCGCACAUCGUAAGGCUGGGCUGUGAUGGGGAGCGAAAAUUAUAGUAGCGAAGGUCAUGAUCUCACACUGCCAAGAAAAGCCUCUAGUCAGGAGAAGGUGCCCGUACCGCAAACCGACACAGGUAGGCGAGAAGAGAAUUCUAAGGCGCGCGGAAGAACUCUCGUUAAGGAACUCGGCAAAAUGACCCCGUAACUUCGGGAGAAGGGGUGCCUCGGUAGGGUGAAUAGCCCGAGGGGGCCGCAGUGAAAAGGCCCAAGCGACUGUUUAGCAAAAACACAGGUCUGUGCGAAGCCGCAAGGCGAAGUAUACGGGCUGACGCCUGCCCGGUGCUGGAAGGUUAAGGGGAGUGGUUAGGGGUAACCCGAAGCUAUGAACCGAAGCCCCAGUAAACGGCGGCCGUAACUAUAACGGUCCUAAGGUAGCGAAAUUCCUUGUCAGGUAAAUUCUGACCCGCACGAAUGGCGUAACGACUUGGGCGCUGUCUCAACGAGAGAUCCGGUGAAAUUUUAAUACCUGUGAAGAUGCAGGUUACCCGCGACAAGACGGAAAGACCCCAUGGAGCUUUACUGCAGCUUGAUAUUGAAUUUGGGUACGAUCUGUACAGGAUAGGUGGGAGCCGUAGAGGCAGGAGCGCAAGCUUCUGCGGAGGCGCCGUUGGGAUACCACCCUGAUCGUAUCUAGGUUCUAACCUGGUACCCUAAGCGGGUACGGGGACCGUGUCAGGCGGGCAGUUUGACUGGGGCGGUCGCCUCCUAAAGAGUAACGGAGGCGUUCAAAGGUUCCCUCAGAAUGGUUGGAAAUCAUUCGAAGAGUGCAAAGGCAUAAGGGAGCUUGACUGCGAGACCUACAAGUCGAGCAGGGACGAAAGUCGGACUUAGUGAUCCGGUGGUACCGCAUGGAAGGGCCAUCGCUCAACGGAUAAAAGCUACCCUGGGGAUAACAGGCUUAUCUCCCCCAAGAGUCCACAUCGACGGGGAGGUUUGGCACCUCGAUGUCGGCUCAUCGCAUCCUGGGGCUGAAGUAGGUCCCAAGGGUUGGGCUGUUCGCCCAUUAAAGCGGUACGCGAGCUGGGUUCAGAACGUCGUGAGACAGUUCGGUCCCUAUCUGUCGUGGGCGCAGGAAAUUUGAGAGGAGCUGUCCUUAGUACGAGAGGACCGGGAUGGACGUACCGCUGGUGCACCAGUUGUUUCGCCAGAAGCAUGGCUGGGUAGCUACGUACGGACGGGAUAAGCGCUGAAAGCAUCUAAGCGUGAAGCCCCCCUCAAGAUGAGAUUUCCCAACACGUAAGACCCCUUGAAGACGACGAGGUAGAUAGGUUGGAGGUGGAAGUGCAGUAAUGCAUGGAGCUGACCAAUACUAAUCGGUCGAGGGCUUAUCCAA